ACACGCGGUGAGAGAGAGUCGCGGAGGUGUGGUGACCAAGGCGUCACCGGAGAGCACCGAGAUUCUCGCCGGAGAAAGUUUGAUGGUGAGCGACGGUGAGAAGAAGAGAAAAGAUGGGUCACGACAAAUUCUUUUUUCUUUCUUCAGUUGGGCCAAGAUGGGCCUGUCCUCCCAUUAAUGAAUAUUUUGUUUUUUGGGCUAAGUUCAUAAAUGCCCAAAAGUCAGAAAGAGAAACAAUGGUACGUUUCUCUUGAUGCUUCUUUCUCGGAAGUGUUGAAGCUGAAGCUAAGAGACAGUCACGACAUAAGCAAUCGUCAAAUCGUAAGUUGAGGUUUUAUGACUGGGAGCGAUUAGGUUCGGCGAUGAAGUCGAAGAUGGAUCGGUAAACCAUAUCGAGAUUCUCGUCGGAGGAGGAAGUGACGAUUGAAGAAGAAAGUGUUCUCGAGAAGAAAGGAGCUCAAAUUAGCUAAAGAAAUUUGAAGACUGGAGCUUGCAAGGCUCGGAUAUCUUCCGGUAAAUCCAGAAAUUCUGAUUUUCUGUAAAGAAAUUGGAGGUUACAGUGAGUAAGAAAGACGAUGCCACAAGUUUGUGUCUUCGUUUACUCUUGUUUGGAAAGGAAGAGAGACAGUAACAUCAUCGGCUGAAGUUUGAUUAAGAUCCUUGAAACGUGGAGUUUUGAAUCUGGUUGGUACAGUCUUUUACAGUUGGUAUUCGAAUACUAGUGUUACCACAGCCUCGGAAACUCAUAGAAUUCCAUGGGACUGAGGGACGCCUUAGAAGCUUGGAAAUUUUUAUGAGUAUUAGGCUGUGGGGUAUUUGUAAAAGGGUUUUCUGGAUUCAGUUCUAAAGACAAGACUUCAGUGGUUGGUUGAGUUUGGGUGAUGAUUUGUUGCAGAGUUCUGUCUCAGUGGUAAUGGUUAGAUUCUUGUGAAUCUAAAAGUCUUCAGUUGGUGGAUCUUUAGAGAUCGUGAAGCUACAAGGCUGCUAUUUUCAGAGGGAAUGCAGUGUGGCUCCGGAAAUCUACUGUUUGGUGUAAGCUGGAUAGCGUAAGAGUUCUUGUUUUCGAGACAAGAUGGCAGUAGCAAAGAUUCAUAAAUUCUACAGAUUUGUGUUUGGUAUAACACAUGAUGAUUCUGUUGGAAUGAAUGUAAGAGAACAAGGAGUUCUUAUCUCGGGUGGAGCAUUUAAUUCUCAGUGGUUAUCUUGUGUUUUGAAUCAGAUCUUCAAGCGACAAAAGAAGUAUAUGAUGGUACGCAAUUGACCGUAUUAUUUUCUCGUGUCGAAAUUCUUCCUAGCUAGGAGAGUUAGGCGGCGUGUUCUAUUCAUUUGAACAGCGAUGCAAGAUAAGUAUAUGUUGAUUUUGCUAAAGAAGAGUACAAGAUUUGGUUUUCUGGGAUGGAGGUAUGAUUUGAUGGCGUAUCAGCUUAAGUUGUUGCACUAUUAGAUUAUGAAGAAUGCUCCAAGUAGAGAUGACAAGGCUGCUGGAAAUAAAAGAAGGUUCUUGGUGGUUCUUUGGGUACAUAUGAAUAAGAUGGAGUGGUUACAUGAAGAAGAAGAUGUGCUACAAGUUAUAGUACGGUUUUCUCAAGAAAGAGGCCAUGGGAACUCACUCUAAUACAUAAGAAAGUGUGAGUGAACAGAAGAACAGUGAAGAACAGUUUAACUCAGAGAAGUGAGGCUGAGCUUACAUAGACAUUGUAACUCAAAUGGUUAUGGUUCCUGGUGGAGCUAUUUGUGGAGGUUGUCUGGGUGUUUAGCUCAGUAGCAUGGAGUUAAAAGGCUGGAUAUCACUGUUGUUUAAGGUUCAUGGAAGUUCAUUGUAUCAAGAAGAAGGGAAAGCCAAGAACAGGUGGUUAUCAACAGGUGUUCAGCUCAGAUUGGGUUAUAAUCUGAAGGUAAAAAAAGGGUCUUACAUAUUUGGUUUGAAGCUGGCUGAUUGGUAAGGAUUUCAGAAACAAGUUGCAGGUUUCAAGUUGUGAACUGCGGAUUUUCUGAAAGUGAGUUGCAGGUUUUUUUCUGAAAAUUUCAGAGAAGACACUAAGGUGUGAGAUGAAGAAAAUGAAGUGGUUCAGGGGAAUUAUCUAAGGAGGAAACUGAAAGAGACAAUUGCAAGUGUUGCAGGGGCUGUCUCAAGGCUAUUCACUUCAAGACUGUGAAAGUGUUGUGUAUCAAGCUUGAUAAACAACUCAUCUCAAGGCUGGUGUUAGCAACUGAAAUGGAGUCUUAGAAGAGACGCAAAUGCAGGAAAUUCAAAUUGCAUUUGACCAGACGCUUGCAGGUCAUUCAAGUAAAGUAUCUUCAAGUAUUGAUGAUAAAGAAGGGAAAGGCUUUGGCUUAAGUCUUGAAAUUGAAUGAGGUAAGGUUCAAGUCGUUUGGUGGAGUUCUGCAGGUUUUGCAGGUCUGUGGUUACAGCUGGAAGGGCACCAAGGGUUCUAGAUUUGGUGCAGAAGUAGUUGUACAUGUUUGUCUCAGGGAUAUCACAAGGUUUUGCUGAUAUGAGACAGGUGUAAAGAUAACUAGUAGUGGUUAAAAUCUGCUGGUGGUGGUUCUGUUUUAACAGAGAGUUUGAUCAAGGUUUAUGUUCAAGACUGGGUUGUUUAAACAGGAGGUGAAAGGUUCAGUCUAUAGCUAUAUAGUGUAUAUUUAGCUGGUUGGUGAGGCUGUUCACCUGGUGAAUCAAGAGCUUCAAGUCUGAGGCUAAGUUGAUUCAGUUUUCUGCAAUUGAUUCAAGUGAAUUCAAAGGAUUUUAAUCUCAAUGCGCAUGAGUAAAUCCUAGAAGCUUUAGCAAGGGAAUCAGGUUUUGCAGAGGGAUAAGUGGUACUUCAAUCACUGUAACAUGCUUAUGGCAUUAACAGAAGCCGUGGUGGAGAAUGUGUGAUUGAACAGCUCAUAGGUGGUGGAGCUUAUGGAGUUUUCUGUUGAGAUUGACAAGCUGGAGGUGUUUUCUUGACUUGUUAAUAAAUUUUUGCUGAGUGGUAACAUCAUAAUUCAAGUGUUGAAUGUAUCAUGAAGUGAUCACUGAAGAGUUGAGCUUAAUACAAGUUUGUAUGAAGCUGGUUUUCACAACUCUAGUGAUCUAAGGAUGUGUUGAUGGCUCAGGUUCAGCAAUGUGAGUAGUCACAGCUGAAGUGCAUUGAACGUAAGCUAAAUGCAGCGAGGAUCAAGCAAGUUUAUGGCAUUUUAAACUGCUAAGUAUCAAGGCAGAGUAAUGAUACUCAAGAGCCGAGAUUGGGAUCCAAGAAAGUAGAAGAAGAUACUCUCUCAAGUUUGUGCAGGUUGCUUGGUUUUGAUCAUCAUGUUCUCAGGUGGAGAUUUGUGAAGAUAUGAGAACUUGAUGAGCAACCAAACAAGGAUCAUGUGCAAACCAAAGGUAAACUCAAGUCCUAACCAAGGUUGAUUAUAUUAACUAAAGUUAGAAGAGCUUUUGGGACCACAAGGAGGAUCAUUUGAAUUCAUGGUCAAGAAGGAUACUUUGUCCUCUUGUGAAUAAGAUGAGGACUCGUUUGCUAGCGCACUAGGGUUUGAGGUUGUCUCCCAUAUAUAAAGUGAUAUGAAGACAUGAGAGAUAGGAAGCCACAAGAAGAUAGACACAAUGUAGCUCUAGGAGAUAGAAGGGUGAGAGAAAACAUGUAAAGGCUUAAGCUUUGGGUGGGAUUUUCUCAAGUAGAACAGAGAGUGGCCGACGAGUGAGUCUUGAGAGUGAAUCACUUGUAAUCUCUGUUAUCUUCUUCUAUUAGUGGAUGCAGUUGGGGGACAGUCUCCCUCCCCUGAGAUGUAGCCAACUUGGUGAACUCAGGGUGAACAAUCGUUUGUGUGCUUCUCUUCUUCCCUCUUCUCUGCUC